GUUUAACACUUAACGAGCAAGGUGGAGGCUUGGGAAGAAACGGGUCAAACGAAUCAAGAAGGAAAAGAAAAGCGUAGCUCGGAUACGAGGAAUUUAACCCAUGGUUCGCAUUGCUAUUGAUUAGAAAUUAAUAGCAAAAGGUAUGUAAAUGGGUCAAUCCCAUGACUCGAGCCAGGUAAAGAUGCUCUUUAGACCCCGGAGGAUGAUCA
rnacentral:lncRNA from 1 species